GUUUAUAUAGUUUAACCAAAACAAUGGUCUUGUAAACCAUAAUUAGACCUAAUCUUUUAAACU
rnacentral:tRNA from 1 species